rnacentral:rRNA from 1 species
GACGAACAACUGGUUCGCCGCAUUAACACCUGCAUGGCGAACACAAAGGCCCCGCAUUUGUGGGGGGCUAGAGUGACACACCGGUGAGAAACAAGAGAGUAUCCUGCCCAUGACUUCGGGAUCACUUCAUGAAACUGCUGUUAAUACCCCAUAGGAGCUCCUGCUAGCCGGUGGACAGUUUGGAAAGAUGCUGACUUGGGGUCAUGGACUCCUUGCUUAUCAGUCUAGCUGGGGGGGUACCGGCGUACCCCCGCUUUAACGGGCUGCCGGCCUGAGAGGAUGACCGGCCUCAUUGCGACAGAUAUACGGCCCUCACUCCAACUGGACUGACCACUGGGGAACAUCGCCUGUUGGCCAGAAGCCUGAUACAUCAACGCCUCUUGCGGGAUGACGGCCUUCGGGUUGUAAGACCGCUUUCUCCUGUGACGAAGCGAAAUAUGACGGUAAUGGGCUAACGAAUGCAGCGGGUAACUACGUGCCACCAUCAGCUUUGAUCCUUAGGGCGCGAGCCCCGUCCGGAUUUAUUGGGCGUAAAUGGCUCGUAGGCGGUUGAUCGCGUCCGAAGUGUAAUCUAGGGGCUUAACCCUGAGCGUGCUUUCGAUACGGGUGUACUUGAGGAAGGUAGGGGAGAAUGGAAUUCUCUUGUGGAGCGGUGGAAUGCGCAGAUAUCAGGAGGAACACCAGUGGCGAAGGCGGUUCUCUGGGCCUUUCCUGACGCUGAGGAGAGAAAGAGUGUGGAGCGAACAGGUUUAGAUACCCUGGUAGUACACGCUGUAAACGGUGGGUACUAGGUGUGGGGUCCAUUCCACGGGUUCCGUGCUGUAGCUAAUGCUUUAAGUACACCGCCUGGGGAGUACGGCCGCAAGGGUAAAACUCAAAGGAAUUGACGGGGCCCCGCACAAGCGGCGGAGCAUGCGGAUUAAUUCGAUGCAACGCGAAGAACCUUACCUGGGUUUGACAUGGAUCGGGAGUGCUCAGAGAUGGGUGUGCCUCUUUUGGGGUCGGUUCACAGGUGGAGCAUGCCCGUCGUCAGCUCGUGUAGUGAGAUGUUGGGUUAAGUCCCGCAACGAGGGCAACCCUUGUUCACUGUUGCCAGCACGUUAUGGUGGGGAGUCAGUGGAGACCGCCGGGGUCAACUCGGAGGAAGGUGGGGAUGUCGUCAAGUCAUCAUUCUCCUUAUGUCCAGGGCUUCAGGCAUGAUACAAUGGCUGGUACAGAGAGUGGUGAGCAUGUGAGGGUGAGGGAAUCUGGGAAAGCCGGUCUCAGUUUGGAUUGGGGUUUGCAACUUGACCUCAUGAAGUGGGAGUCGUUAGUAAUCGCAGAUCAGGAACGAUGCGGCGAAUAAGUUCUCGG